UACGAAGGGGGGCUAGCGUUGCUCGGAAUUACUGGGCGUAAAGCGUGCGCAGGCGGUGAUGUAAGACCGAUGUGAAAUCCCCGGGCUUAACCUGGGAACUGCAUUGGUGACUGCAUCGCUCGAGUAUGGCAGAGGGGGGGUAGAAUUCCACGUGUAGCAGUGAAAAUGCGUAGAGAUGUGGAGGAAUACCGAUGGCGAAGGCAGCCCCCCUUGGGUCAAUACUGACGCUCAUGCACGAAAGCGUGGGGGAGCAAACAGG
rnacentral:rRNA from 1 species